rnacentral:lncRNA from 1 species
GGGGAUAGCAGGGCCAGGUGGACAUCCCUUGCAGGCUCUUCUCAGCAGAGCUGAAGGCCAGCGGGAUGAGCAGAGGGCCAGGAACAAGCUUAAGGGGCAAGGGAUGGGCCUGCAAGGUGGGGACACUGCCCAGGCUCCUCAGUUAUAAGCACUGUCAUCACAGGGGCAUGACAGAACACACUCCCACACCUCCCUGGCAAUCCCAGAACACCACUGCAAGAAGUCUUUGUCGGGCACUCCAGGUGUCAGAGAGACAGCCUGCCAGGUGGGACCCAGUAACAUCCCAGGACAGGGACAGGAAGCAGUCUGGGCCCUGAGCUGUCCAAAACCUGGGUUGUUGUGCGUGUGGAAGGUGCCUGCACAUUAGCUGGAGCUGGUCCUGAGUUAAAUCAGCCUCUGGACAGAUGAAGCAGGGUCCGUGGAUCUCCCUGGGCUGUGUGUAACUGCAGUGCUCUGCAGACCCCAUUAAGAGUCAAGGACAACCAGGGCUGGCUGCUCCUCUGGGGACCCUCCCAGGGCAGGACCUUCCCUGGGGCAGCCUGGGAAUGCAGGGCCAGGGCAGGGAGCUGCAGGCUGUGGUCCAGAUGGUCCUAGGACUGCCCCACCAAGGUUGAUGCCUGAGUCCCAGAACACCCAGCCCCUCCUAGGAACCAACCUGAGGGCCACUGUGCUGUCAGAAGGGCAGUCACCUUGGUGCCCCUGAGGCUGGGAGGGCAGAGCUUAGAGCUUGGUGGUGUUGGGUACUGCCCACAUGGUUGUCCACGUGCACCACAGCCCCAGAGCAGUGUCCAAAACCCACAGGUUUGAUCUACACCAACCCUCACCCUGCUAGUCCACUGAGCUCUCUCUGUGCUUGAGCUGAUGCCUUUCAGGGGAUGAGCUGCCAGUCUGGGGCACACACCAAGUGGGGAGACAGACACAGACUCCAGGUGGCAGCUUCAAGAACGAGUGAUUUAAGAACAGCC